rnacentral:rRNA from 1 species
GACGAACGCUGGCGGCGUGCUUAACACAUGCAAGUCGAACGGAAAGGCCCUGCUUUUGUGGGGUGCUCGAGUGGCGAACGGGUGAGUAACACGUGAGUAACCUGCCCUUGACUUUGGGAUAACUUCAGGAAACUGGGGCUAAUACCGGAUAGGAGCUCCUGCUGCAUGGUGGGGGUUGGAAAGUUUCGGCGGUUGGGGAUGGACUCGCGGCUUAUCAGCUUGUUGGUGGGGUAGUGGCUUACCAAGGCUUUGACGGGUAGCCGGACUGAGAGGGUGACCGGCCACAUUGGGACUGAGAUACGGCCCAGACUCCUACGGGAGGCAGCAGUGGGGAAUAUUGCACAAUGGGCGGAAGCCUGAUGCAGCAACGCCGCGUGCGGGAUGACGGCCUUCGGGUUGUAAACCGCUUUCGCCUGUGACGAAGCGUGAGUGACGGUAAUGGGUAAAGAAGCACCGGCUAAGUACGUG